GUCCGACUCUGUGCGACCCCAUAGAUGGCAGCCCACCAGGCUCCCCCAUCCCUAAACUCAAUUUAUAAGCAGCAUUUUGAAAAGGUGUUGAAAGACUAGAACGUUUUCUUUUUCUACUAGUCCUUGUGUUCUAUUGAAAGAAAGCCUGUACUCAUUUUUCUUUUAAGGCUUUAUUGAAAUGAGUUUAAAUGUUUCCAUGUGAGAACAUAGUAAAGGCAAUUGAUGAAGGUUAAUUUUAUUUUGGAUUGAAACUUUGGAAAACUGCCUCCUAUUCCACUAUUCUGCAAUGUUCAGUGCUAAACAUUUGUAAAAUGUGCUGCAAAGUCAGGCUACUCUAACACAGAAAUGGUAUAUAUUCUCAAAAUUCUCUAGCCACCCAUCUUCCAGUCACAAUGAAGUAGCAUAAGAUAUAUACUUGCUAUUAACCACAAUAUGACCAAACAACAUGAUUCUAAGAUAAGAAAGCUCAACAUCCAAAACACUUCAAUGCACUUUGCAUCAAAAGCUAAUUGCAAAGAGAAAUAUGCUGGCAAGAGUUGCAGUUUUAAGAUGAUGGUUCCCUUCUUCCAGAGACUUUAUUAUGAACUCCCGUGGUGCAAUUCCAAGUUUCUAAGUGACCUGCAGAAUAAAAAGAUGAUUAUGGUAUCAAACACAUCAGUUUAAAAUGGACAUGAACAUUAGCUUUCAAGCUAUAGGAGUUAAGAUCAAAUAUCAGAUACCUAGUUACUGACAAAGAUGAGCUAAAAUAAAAGUGGGUGCAAAAGAAUUUCCAUGGAAUUCUUCUCAGACAUUUGGAAAUUGACUUACAUUUCUCAAUUAAAUAUAAUACAUGAUCCCACAGAGGGAAAUUAUUGGGUUAAUAAUACACUUUAUAGUGUAUUUCCUAAGAAUAAAAUUAUUCCCUUAAAUAACCACAGGAUGGUUAUUUGUGAAUAUUUUCUAUUUUUUUUGCCCUUGUUCUUUGUCCUUAUUUGUCUUUCACGCUUUUUCUACCUUUCCUAGGAUAUGGUGUUACUCAUACCUAUUUUAACUGAUAAAUGAGCUAUUAGUACCAAGCAGUACAAAAGAAAUUUUGGAAACUGUUUUCCAGAAUACCUGGAUUUAAAAAAAGAUAAUUCUUCUUUUCCCCUUAUUUAUUAAAGAAAUUCAGUGACUGGAAAUAAAUAGAAAAUUCUGAAUAAGGCAUUAAUAUCUUGCAGUUUAAAAGUGUUCAUCAGCUAAAAGACAUGAUACAGU
rnacentral:lncRNA from 1 species